CCUCAUCCCCACAGCCCACCCUAUCUCUCCGCCCUCUCUCCCUUAUCUCUUUCUCUCCCGAUCUGAGCGGCGGCGGCGGCGGCGGCUCCCGUCCUCUUCCCCCACCCCUCUCCCUCAGAUUGAGCUCCGCCCCGAAGUGGAGGAAAGGUACGCGGCCGUCGAUCUGUGCACGUCUAGCCAUGAAGGGCUCCCCCCUCUCGCACUCCUUCUCCGCAUGGAGCGCUAGCAGCCCAAACGUCGUAGAUCCACUACCCCUGCGUCCGUGCCAUGCCGGCCGCCGGUGGCUGCCGCAUAGAUCCGUUCCUCCCCCACCUGCCGCACGGGACGGCGCAUGCUGCCAUGCCGUUUGGGUGCAGCCAGACCGCCGCCCCUACCCUCGCGCUCCGGGCAGAGGCUCGUUCUUCUUGGUGGUGACUACACGUUCCUCCCUGGUGGUGGCGCUCUGCCGCUGUCUUGCGUUUCUCCUAGUGGCUGCGCCCUUCGACCCCUACCUCGAAUCAAUCGAUCCGGCAAUAGAGAGAUGAAACUGCAAAGCAGCAUGAUAAGGAAAAAGCGGGUUUCGACGCUGGACAUUUGAACAAAAUCAUAUACUGGAGACUGCUUGUAUUAUAAUAGAAGGUAAACUUACCAAUCGAACAGAGUGAACAAUACUUGUAUUAGUGUUUUCCAUUGUAUUGCAUGUGCAUUGUGGUCACUACUAUCAAUCCGUAGAAAUUACACUGUAUAAGGAUGGAUGAAACGAAUGGAACCUAUAUCCUAACUUGCCACUACUAUAUUGUAGCUUCUAAAACACUUGUAUGCACAUAUAGUUUCUCUUGGUUAUUAUAACUGAAACAUUAUUGAGAUAAAUCUCGCUCAGUUUUUCUAGUGGGGAAGGAAAGCUUCAAGAUGUUCCAUUUAAAGCCCUGAUAUCUAUUUGAAAAUUAAUUCAUGUGCAUACCUCCUCGAUCCUAACAUUAUCAUGUCUCCAUUUCUCUUAUUCAAGAGAAGCGUGAAACAAAACACUCAUUCAGAAUUCUAUGCUAUCAGAAAUAAGGUCAUUAAUAUUCAGAUAUAUGCAUGUAAACUUGGCUAGUCAAUCAUCAAAUACACACACAUAUGCACACACUGGAAGGUGGUGUUCAUGUUUGACAAAAUUGUACUUGCGUAGCAAUAGUUCCUUUAACAACUAAAUUGUUCCUAAUCCAUUGUGAGGUGUUUCUAGGCCUUGAUUUUGACAUUUUUAAAGUAUUGCUCAGAUCUGUUUGGUUGAGAUUUUGAAUGUAAAAACUACAUUGUUCCUGUUAUCUAUUGCGAGGCAUAUAAAUGCUUUGAUUUUGACUUUAUUUUUCAGCUGAGUUCAGCUUGUAUUGAAUAAAAGUUGGACAGAUGGAGAUAGGUAAGUGUUAUCAAUAUGAUGGUUUAUGAUCUACCAGUGGAACUUUAAAUGAUAUAGUUUACCAAUUUCAACGGAGUGUGUUAGCAGAUUAAGUAAAAGAUGUGUUACAUAUGGAAUGAACUUAAUUCAACCAUUCUCUAGAAGAAACUAUUAGUCAUAUCGCGAUAUUAUCUUGUAGAACAACAAUAGGGAUAUGUUGACAUUUGACACUUAUGAUGUCCUUUUUCCAUGAUGCUUCGCCUACUGUUAAUAUCCUCUUCUCCAACUGGCACAUUCUUGCAAGCAAUCACUAUUGAUGAAAUAAUUAUGAGCACUUUUCUUGUAGAGUAUAAUAGAUCUUUUAUAUGCAACUAUUCAGUUGACUUGUGAAGGAAUAACUAAUGUCAUGCUUGAAUAACUGGGUUGUUGUCAUGACCUUAACAGUGCAAAGCUAUGCAUAUAAAGUUGUCAUGCUUGUAUGAGUGGGCAGUACAUAAAGCUACUGUUAUGACCUUAACCAUCCAAAAUUAAUGGAAAAGUUGUGAUGUGGUAGUGUGUAUACUAUAUUGGAACAUAAUGCAUGGUUGACAUAAAUGCUAUUGGAAUUAUUUAGAUGUCAUGGUGUUCCUAAUAACUUAAAACUGUUGUAAAGAUGAACUAAACCAAAUUACUCUCAAACUAGAGAGCAAGAAAUUAUGAGAUAGUUUCCUGUAGAGUAAUGGUUCAUGUAUGUGCAGCAAUUCAAUUGCCCUGUGAUGUAAUAGUUGAUGCCAUGCUUGUAAGUGGGCUGGUUUCAUGACCUUAACAGUGCAAAGCUAUGCACGCAACAUUCACAUUUUAUUUUGAGUUUCCCUUCAGCAAUUACUUAUUAAUAUUUCAGCACUAAACUAUAUUUGGCUGAGUAUAUCAAUAUUCAAACUUGUUUGUGUCGCUUUCACUAUUUUGUGAGCCUUUAAUCGCUCGUGUUCACAUCUUCUGUCUUGGAUACUAUAUCUGUUAUUUGACCUGACUGGAUGCUUAUUUAUGAUUAUCACAGAUAAAAAUGAUAUUUUGUUAUGUUGUCGAUUUCCUUGAUAAACAAAGUAGUUGCUGCCUAAAUCUGGAACAUUUCAUGGACUUGUGUUAUUAAUGUAGUCUGACCAUCUUUAUUUCCAACAACAUAUACUAUUAGCAGAUGGUGGGAUUCAUAUUGGAUUUGUACAAAAGAAAAACUUUUCAUAUAGUACUGUUCUAUUAGUGAAGUGAAUAUUAAAAUAAUUUAUCUCGAGGAGAAACUGAAAGAAUUCCAGAUCUUGAUGAAUGUAUACCUCGGUUGUGAGGAUCUGAAGAAACCCUUUUUUCUGUUGCUGGUAGUGGAGCAAGAUUUCUUAUAUCUGGGUGAGGGCAUCCAUCAAUGUUGGGACAAGGAAUCUCAUCACUACAGUAUGUAGCUACCAUAGUGGACCAGGUGCGUUCUUGAGCAUAGCUAGACGGAAAAACAUCUUUCCCGAGCUGGCAUGUGAAGGAAACAAACCAAAGGAGAGCACUCACACGGAACCAUGAAGCCAAUGAUCUUCGUCAACUAGAUGUUUUAGAUUUCUUUUUUUUUUUGGCGCAGAAACAUGAUCAAAAGGUCAGAAACGGUCUAAAUGUGUAUUCUGACGGCCAAAAUGACUGGGAGCGAGAGAGAGCUCCCUUUAGGCUCAGUUUUACUGUUCUAAAUUUUGUACAACUGAUGUCUCAUACUUGCAUCUUUUACAUGUCCUUUUGUGAACUUGAUGUAUGGUGUCUUGGUGGUAAUGUUUAGAGCAGACUGUAGUGUAUGUAUGUGACAAAUAGUUAAUCGAAUAAAAAAUGUUUGGGGCA